rnacentral:rRNA from 1 species
UACGGGGGGGGGCAAGCGUUGUUCGGAAUUACUGGGCGUAAAGGGUCUGUAGGUGGCUUGCUAAGUCAGACGUGAAAAUCCCUCGGCUUAACCGGGGAACUGCGUCUGAUACUGGCGAGCUUGAGUGCAGGAGAGGAACGCGGAAUUCCAGGUGUAGCGGUGAAAAUGCGUAGAUAUCUGGAGGAACACCGGUGGCGAAGGCGGCG